rnacentral:rRNA from 1 species
AGCAUAUCAAUAAGCGGAGGAAAAGAAACCAACAGGGAUUGCCCUAGUAACGGCGAGUGAAGCGGCAACAGCUCAAAUUUGAAAUCUGGCUCCUCUCCGGGGUCCGAGUUGUAAUUUGCAGAGGGUGCUUUGGUGUUGGCUGUGGUCCAAGUUCCCUGGAACAGGACGUCGCAGAGGGUGAGAACCCGUACGUGGCCGCCAGCCUUCGCCGUGUAAAGCCCCUUCGAAGAGUCGAGUUGUUUGGGAAUGCAGCUCUAAAUGGGAGGUAAAUUCCUUCUAAAGCUAAAUACUGGCCAGAGACCGAUAGCGCACAAGUAGAGUGAUCGAAAGAUGAAAAGCACUUUGGAAAGAGAGUGAAACAGCACGUGAAAUUGUUGAAAGGGAAGCGCUUGGAGCCAGACGUGCCCGUAGUUGCUCAGCUGGGGUCUUCCCCGGUGCACUCUUCUGCGGGCAGGCCAGCAUCAGUUUGGGCGGUUGGAUAAAUGCCUGCUAAACGUACCUCCCCCCGGGGAGGACUUAUAGGGUAGGCGGCAUACAACCAGCCCGGACUGAGGACCGCGCAUCUGCUAGGAUGCUGGCGUAAUGGCUGUAAGCGGCCCGUCU